GGUUUUUUGCAAUCCACACGGCACAGAUUUUUUUGAUUAUGUAGAUUUUUUUUUUUUUCCUCCUCUAUUGCAGUUUCAUAUGCAAAGCAUGCAUCAGCCACAUCCAUGCUAUCUCCUAAAGCAGUCAUUCUGAAACCCAAUCUGGGGACAGUGCAGACUAAAUAAAAUUUCAUUUUGAUUUGGCCUCCCGCUGAGAAUGGGACUGCUUUGUUUCAGCCGACAGAAGCAGCAAGCCAGAAAGGUGUUGAAUACACAAAUACUGACUUAACAGAAAAUUAUAAGUAGAGGCAGAAUCAAAGCUUCGCCCAGCAACUACAGAGAAAUCUAAUAUUUCCUGAGUGGGGAGAGAAGAAAGCUUGGAAACUGUAGGAAAACAUGGACCAGAAAAUCAUGUUAUUUCUAACCUAUACACACCACUGGGAUUUCCACCACUGGGAUGACCUUCUCAGAAAAAGCUACACCCAGCUUUUCAGGAGACCAUAGGCAGAAUGCACUUGCUGUACAAUUUUGUCUUCAGGCAAAGGGGCAUCUUUUCUGCAAGAAGCUGCACGAGUUACUGAACAUACCCCUUCCCACAGUGAUAAUAUUUUUUUCUCUUUUUUGGACACUACCACAAACUCUCUGACCCAGACAGAUGUUUUCCUUCAACACCUAAAUUGCAUGCACUCUACUCAUACUGAGUAAAUCACACUGAGUAUUUGUGUCCUAGGAAUGUUUGUCAAUAUCAUUGUUAUCUUGUUUGGCAUGCUUUUAUCCUAUUUCUUGUUCCUGUGACUCUGCAGAUCUGUGGGCAUGCAACCUGUGGCAUGCUGCAAAGAGUACAAACCUAUAUUUAUUUUAAUAUUAUUAUGUCUAUUAGCAUUUACUUUCUUGAUAUGCCCUAUGUGUUCUAAAAAAAUGUUUUCUGCAUAAGAGAAUGUAGGUGCAGGGAAAAGCUAGUUUGCUAUCAUUAUGCUAGUUAGUGUGAGUGUCUGCCAAAUUACAUCUCCCUUUUUUCCAAACCGACUUCAGAUAUAUGCAUGUAAAUUUUAACAAACAUGCAUUUGUAACACUAGAGGUGUUUAGUGUGUAUACAACAGCAAAAGCUUCCUUGUUUUGCACAGAGUGGAGACAUAAGAAGCAGUGGUGUUCUUGAUACCUAUGCAUGAUGGUAUCCUAGCCACUGGCAUAAUAGAGGCAUCAGAUAAAAUAAUAAUACUCAAAUGAUGUUUGCAAAGUUGAGCUCGUAAAUGUCAAAGGUGAUUUGAAGUGGACAAGAGUGAGUCUUAACAAAUCAAGUAGGGGCUGCUGGCAAUUGUUUCUCUUCUCAGUUCUUAUUGAAACUAAUAUUGGACAAAUUGAAAGAGUGAUUGCCUUAGAGCCUUUGCAAUGUCUUCACCAAUCUGUUGCCCAUUUCCAUAAAAAAUGGGAGUGAAAAUGGCAGCUGACUUCUUUUGACCUCUCUCAAUUUCAGAGGAGCUCCUGUUGGAGGCCUGAAAAAGCAGUUUUUCAAGCAGGCCAUUAACUUUCAUAGCAAGUUUAGAUGGCAGAGAAAUUGAAAAAUAUCAGUCAAAUAAUCUAUUUAAGCUUGGUCUUUCUAUAUGCACUAUGAUGCGAAUGGAAGCAAACCAGCAACAGAAAAAAAA
rnacentral:lncRNA from 1 species